AGCCUUGUGCAGUGGCAGUAUCGUAGCCAAUGAGAUUUAUCUGAGGCCUGAUUAUUGCUAAUUGAAACUAAAACGUGCGUUUUAUGUUCUCCAAGGUUUCUACAGAC
rnacentral:snRNA from 1 species